ACUAAUGCCUCUGCUGCCUGUCAUUGAUAAUCUCCUAUCAAUACAUUCCCUAAACCUGAUCACCGCUGUCCUCAUCCUUAUAUAAUUAUUGUGCUCUAACCGGCACCCAGGGGGUUCACUCGUUCCCAGUCUGAAUCAGAUCCUGAAAAUCAAAAGUCUCUCCAACAAUAACCAUAAAUAAAAUGUUUUAUGAGUAUUUUCUAGACCAACGCAGUUCCCAUUCAGAGGGUGUAGCUACUAUCGCGAAUGACAUUUCCGAAUGAAUAGAAUUUAUAACUAAAAAAAAAAAUAAUGAUUUAGAGACGUUUAUUAGGGGUGCUCGAGAAGCAUAGCACGUUAUAUAUAUAUAUAUAUGUGUGUGUGUGUGUAUAUAUAUAUGUAUAUAUAUAAUUUUUUUUUUUUUUUUUGCAAAUAAUAAUAAUAAAAGAAGAAAGAAAAAAAACGCCCAUUUUGUUCUGCAGAGUCAUUGUACUCGGAUCAAAACAUUGUAGAGAAAAGGGUCUGGGAUGUUUUGACUCAAAAUGGCAAGUAGCCUUUUAAUAUCUAUAGUAUCUAUCAAUAUCAAUAUUUUAGUAUCUAUAGCCACUCUCUGGCAACCAUAAAGCAAUACGGCAGUAACAGCGAAUUCAGCUAAUAUGCACGAUUUCUUUAUGGAAAAAGUAAAUUUUUACUUAUGAAAUCUCAUUUUACUGAUCUACUGUCGUGAUCUAAUUAAAUUUAGGGAAGAUUUUAGUUGUACAACAAAAUCAGAACAUUAAGUACCCUGAUACCAGGAUACUCUCUGGAUUUUUUUUGCUAAUGUCAGAUUAUAAAUGCUGUAGGCCUAUAUAUUGACUUGCACAAUCAUCAUUUUGCAUUUUAUGUAAAUUACUUUAAACCAGAGAAAAAUAAAUAGUCUUUAUACAUUGUAGAGAGAAAUGAAAGAUAUCACUGAAAAUGAAAAACAAGGAGAAGAGAUAGAGAACAGACUGGAAGAGUCACAAACAAGUGAAUCAAGAGAGUCACUGAAACGUAGACACAGCAGCAUGGAGAAUUUAAAACCAGAUCUCUCUCAUGAUCCAGUCAAACCUGCAGGGUCUCGUUCUCAUGUAUCAGAGACGCUUCAAGCUGUGAAAACACUACGCAUUAAUUUUUAUCGCUGAUAUCUUCAACCAGAGGCUUCACAUCUCCGAGAACCUAAAAAAAUGGAAGAAUGGAAAUCUUCAAGCAGCUCAGACGAAACGGAGUUUCUUGCCAGAAUGGGUAAUAGUUGAAUUGACCUCUGUUUUCAUGUACGUGAGUGCUUUGAAAGACCCAUCCUGCAUCGCAGAAAAUCAUGACUGAACCAUGCAAGACCCUCUGCAGUUUGCUUUCCGAGCUAAUGUUUCAGAGCAAUGCUUUUAUCUGCAUCACCUGCACUACUGGUUAGUCCUUGCACCUGUUGUUUACAUGCAUCUCAGGUGAUAAAAUAACAAUUAUAUGCGAUUAUAACAACUAAUGACAACUAUAGUAUUAUAACAACUGUACUUGGUCUCAGCAGACUAUCGUCUCAACCAAAACCAGUAUUAAUACCUCUGGGCCUGUAUGUAUAAAACUUCUCAGAAAUGCUCUUAAGAAUAGUCUUAAGCUUUGACUUAAGUGUCAAAAAAAAAUUUAGUAAAAAGUAGGACUUGUCUAAGAGUAGGAUACCUUUAUAAAGAAGCUAAAAGCAACUUUCAGUAAAGUCUAAGACUGAUUCUUAAGUGUUGACUGAGGUGACACUUAAGUGUUGUGAACUAAAGACUACAAUGAUGUCAACUCAAAAUGGCUGACCUCAACCUCUGAAUCAGCCAAUAGUGAGCCUGCUCAUGUGAAGUCACAGCAGCACAACACCAAUCAUUUAAUGUAACUAUUAAAAAAAUAAUUUAAUUAAGACACUGAAAUAUUUUAAUAUUUAAAUGUAUUUUUAAAAAAUGCUUUGCAUUGUGCAAAAUUAUCACAAAUGAUUACUGAUGCUUUGAAAUUGUAUUCUAUUGGUAUUUCUCCUCCUUUACAGUUGGAUCAAUGACGUGAACAUGCGUUCCAUCAACGGCUCCAACAAUUCCAGGAAAGCCCACAAUCCUCAUAAAAGUGGCUUGUUUUUGCAGCAUGGGUUGACGGUCAGUUGGAAGGUCAAUGAACUGCCAAAUAGUAGUGGCCAAAAUGGAUGUCCGGCCUAGGAAAUUUGACAUCUUCACCCUUAUUUUAAAAAAAAAGUGUUAAAGAUUUUGUAAGCAUGUUGCAUAGUUGCUCUGAGUCAAUUGUUUAAUUUGUGAUAAUAAUGCAAUGAAACAUACCAAAUUGUGUGGUCAUACUUUUUGGCCAUGCUGUCAUACAAAGAAAUUAUGAACACAUGCAAAAACAAGAGGACCAACGAAAUAUCAAUAACUGAAUGUUGCCAAUUUAGUGAUUUUGUCACUAGAUUCAGUGACUUCCUCACCCCUUUUGAGACUUUUUUCAAAAGCCUAGCAACAAAAUCAAUUUCUUGGACAAACCUUAUCUAGAUUCCAAGACUCCCCCACUGAUCUAUAUGUAUAUAGAUCAGUGAACUUGCCAUUCUGACAUAAUCUAGCAACAUUUAGCAACUGUUUAAGCUACUUUCAGUUCAAAGCAGUUGGCAACACUGGUCAGUGUUUUUUCCCUAGUAUUUGAAUGGUUUAAGUGAAAUGUGGGGUCAUUAAAAAAACCCUCCACACAUCACUUUUGGCCACUGUUGUGUUUGGUGGGAUUAGUGCCUCAAUAUUUAAGACCCUGCUUACUGUGUCAUUACCGGUGCAUUGCUGCAUUUUUUCCAAUUUUCCAGCCAAAAAAUGUUACUACUUUCAUUUCUGCAGUUAGAGCAUUGAUUUGUAGAGUGGAAGAAGUUAUUACAUUUCUUACUUGGUCAGUUACAAAAAGAAUUGACUAUCUUGGCGUUCAAGUUUGUAUCAUUUUAUCAACAUGUAACUCCAAUAUGUCAUAUCUUCGUUGGAAAGUGUGUCUCCUCCUUUUGCUUGUUACUCCUAACUAGGUUAGGAGACCUUUCCAGCUCUCUUAAAUCAUUUAGGAGCUGAGACCUAGUCUUAACACUUAGGAACCUUUAUGAAUCACACUUAUUCUUAAGUCUAGGAAUAGGAGUAAAAUUGCGUAAUUCUAAGAAUUUUGACACACUUAAAACUACAAUUUUACUCUGAGCGGCUUUAUACAUACGGCCCCUGGUGUAAACAGGAUGGUCCACAAGACUAAAACGGCUACUUGGAGAUGAAGAGAGUAUUUAUGUUGCCACCAGCGUCAAAAGAAAUUGAAUGUAUGCAUGAAUUCAAUUUCUUGAGUAUAAAGUCUAAACACAUUCUCUGAGCAUUACAGUUACACUAAAUAAUAUUUGUUCUGCUUAAGAUGACAGUGUUCUGGACUUUACUGACAUUUAUCAGUGUAGGGUCAUGCACAAGCGAAGUCAUUGUAGAAAUGCCUCUUAUUAGCAGGCUUAUUUGUUUCCUGUGUUUCAUGGUCAUGUGAUCCAUAGUGCCUCUGCCUUCUGUAGUAUAAAACUGUUUUACACCACUAAUUGGAGUCUAUCGCAUUAAAGUGCACAUGAUUUUAAACACAGCUUUCAAAAAUUUUUAAACUUUUGUAAGUGAAAAAGGUAAAUGGGUAUAGUAUUUUAUUAAAAUUUUAAUUUCACUGUAAAUGUUUCCCUACAUUUUUGUCCUGUGUAUCCUGACAGACAGUCCCAUCAAAAAAAGGUUCCAGUUCCCUUUCAUGUGUUUAUUUGAACUCAUACUGAAUAAUAUUAUUAUUAUUAUUAAGAGGGCAUUAUUACAAUUAUUUACUUUUAAAGGGGUCAUAUGAUGCUGCUAAAAAGAAGAUUAUUUUGUGUAUUUGGUGUAAUGAAAUGUGUUUAUGCGGUUUAAGGUUCAAAAAACACAUUAUUUUCCACAUACUGUACAUUAUUGUUUCUCCUCUAUGCCCCGCCUUUCUGAAACGCAUCGAUGUUUACAAAGCUCAUCGUUCUGUAAAGCGAGGUGUGCUCUGAUUGGCCAGCUAUCUAGAGCGUUGUGAUUGGCCGAAUACCUCAAGCGUGAGAUAGAAAUAGUACGCCCCUUACCAUACUGUGAUGAUGCCCUGUCCGGCCGGAGCGACGAGACAAAAACAUUAAAACCCAUUAUAAACGAGGCAUUUGUAGCAUCCAGUGGGGAUAUUAUUACGGAUUAUAAUUACUUAUACUGUCUUUUUACGCGUUGCGUUGCAUCGCGCUGCAUAAACAUAAAACCAUGUCUGCAUUUGUGAUCGGAGAAAUGACAAACAACAAGCGCUACUCUACACUGCUCAAAAAACUUGCUUUAAAUAUAUAAAAUAUAAAAACUCUUUAAAUAUAAAAAACGUACUUACAGUCUUUGAGUCAGAACAGCCGGCAUUGUAGUCUACUCUCCCAGGAUCAGGAAACAGUCCUCCAUAAAAUGUGCUUCACACAUCUGAAUAUUUGGGUUGAAGUGUUCUGGAACAGUGUUGUAAAUACAACUUAACCACUGAUUUCUAGUCGUGUCCAUUUUUGGAAGGCCAAACAAAGUAGUUUCGCUUUCAAAACGAAACAGCGUCACACACGGCGGCCUAGAGUGAGCAGAGGCCGGGGGGCUAUAGUGAGGAACGGCCGGAGGGUUAGAGUGAGCAGAGGCCGGGGGAUAAAGUGAGGAAAGGCUGGAGGGUUAGAGUGAGCAGAAGUGGGUGGGCUUGAGAACGGCGCGGCCGGCGUAUUCAAUGAAGGAGCGUCUGGCGGGCUUGCGGCAACCACAUGUGGCGACCCCGGGCUGGACUCCGCUUCGUCCACAGUGAAAGCCGAUNNNNNNNNNNNNNNNNNAGCGAUUAUCGUCCUUCCAUUUUGGAAGACCAAACAAAGUAGUUUCGCUUUCACAACGAAUCACACAGUGCUUUCACGACAUGGCGACGGCAACAAUACUACAGCGAGAAUAAAAGUUACGCCUUCUUUUUUUGCGUGAACAUUUGGGCGGCGUUAUGCAAGUCUUCCCACAUAGUGACAUAGGUAUGUGGGGGCGUGUUAGAACGAGCCGUUUUAGGUAGGCGUGGCUGACUUAACUUUUAUAAAGAAUAUCUCUUUGGAUUUGAGACUUUAGUCUUUGCAACUUUACAGAUCUUCUUUAUGCACCAAGAGCUUGUAACACUCCAAAGAGAAAGGAAAAAUUUAAAUCGCAUCAUAUGACCCCUUUAAACUCAAAUCUGAGGUUGGCAAACAAGUCAUUUCUCUGUAGACAGUGUUGCAAUAAUUCUAUCCACUAGAUAGAGCUGCAAGCUUGAGUUUUUUCUGAGUUAAUUCUGAAUUAGUACUUGAUAUUUUCGUGAUCAAAGCGGGUCACCCACACUACUCAUUUCCAAUGCCAUUACUAAAUGGCCCAAGUUUAACAAGCUUUUGUGUUUUCUUGUGAAGGUCAUGUUGUUAUUUUGCUGGCCACCAUGAAGAUGCAAUAAAACUUUGUGUGCAAUAAAACAGACUGCACUGAUGUGAAGUGAUGUGUCCUCUUAUAUUUCUGCAUGUUAUUUUUGG
rnacentral:lncRNA from 1 species